rnacentral:siRNA from 1 species
GUACAGAUAUAAACCUAUGUACAG